rnacentral:rRNA from 1 species
GUUAAGCGACUAAGCGUACACGGUGGAUGCCCUGGCAGUCAGAGGCGAUGAAGGGCGUGCUAAUCUGCGAUAAGCGCCGGUAAGGUGAUAUGAACCGUUAUAACCGGCGAUACCCGAAUGGGGAAACCCAGUGUGAUUCGUCACACUAUCAUUAACUGAAUCCAUAGGUUAAUGAGGCGAACCGGGGGAACUGAAACAUCUAAGUACCCCGAGGAAAAGAAAUCAACCGAGAUUCCCCCAGUAGCGGCGAGCGAACGGGGAGGAGCCCAGAGCCUGAAUCAGCAUGUGUGUUAGUGGAAGCGUCUGGAAAGGCGCGCGAUACAGGGUGACAGCCCCGUACACAAAAGCGCAUGUGCUGUGAGCUCGAUGAGUAGGGCGGGACACGUGGUAUCCUGUCUGAAUAUGGGGGGACCAUCCUCCAA